rnacentral:rRNA from 1 species
AUUGAACGCUGGCGGCAUGCCUUACACAUGCAAGUCGAACGGUAACGGGCCUUCGGGUGCCGACGAGUGGCGAACGGGUGAGUAAUACAUCGGAACGUGCCCGACCGUGGGGGAUAACGAGGCGAAAGCUUUGCUAAUACCGCAUACGAUCUACGGAUGAAAGCAGGGGACCGCAAGGCCUUGCGCGGACGGAGCGGCCGAUGGCAGAUUAGGUAGUUGGUGGGAUAAAAGCUUACCAAGCCGACGAUCUGUAGCUGGUCUGAGAGGAUGAUCAGCCACACUGGGACUGAGACACGGCCCAGACUCCUACGGGAGGCAGCAGUGGGGAAUUUUGGACAAUGGGCGCAAGCCUGAUCCAGCCAUGCCGCGUGCAGGAUGAAGGCCUUCGGGUUGUAAACUGCUUUUGUACGGAACGAAAAGCCUUCUUUUAAUACAGGAGGGUCAUGACGGUACCGGAAGAAUAAGCACCGGCUAACUACGUG